GUAUACCGCAAAUAUUUGAGCAGGUCGCCGCCUUCAAUCUACGCCGUCGGUACCUUCUCCGCGGGUGACUCUGCCGUAGCUCCUCGUCCUUUCGGGAGGUCCAAGAGAUGACGCUGGACUGUGGCAGCCACUAGCUGUCCCGCUGCGGGCCAUAGCCAUGAUGCCGCUGCUGUGUCGCUGAGUCGGCAAUGUGGCGUCUCGUCCACUGCAGCAGGGACCACGCGCACGGGACAUAGAGCUGGGCUUUAGCGUUCAGACGAAAGGCUUAUUUACCCUACGCUUUGCCACAAAACGAGUCGUAUCCGAUUUCCCUCGCCAGACGAAGUUCUAUCCAGGCAUUACCGAGGCGUUUUCGAGACAGACGGAGUCCUAUCCUAGCCAGACAGAAUCGUAUCCCAGCAGCGCACCCAUUGCAAGAUCCGAACAUAGGAAGCCAUCGUCAUCUCACGACCCAGCCAUCGACAACAAGGACUUUGACUACGACAGCCAAGGGAAGAGCUACGCAGGCUACUACGCUCUAGAUAUUCCUCGUCGUUGUUAUGUUUAAGGAUAUACGCGUCCAUGCAUUUAGAUAGUAGAUACAAAGGUUUUCCACUUGCUUAUUUAUUUAUACUAAGCUAAGUUAUGAUGAAUAAAACAAUUGAAAAAAAAA